rnacentral:rRNA from 1 species
UGAGGAACAUGACCUUCGGCGGGGGAGUAGCCGGCCCAACGGCCGGGUAAUACCGCGUACGACCACAUGGGGACAUCCCUGAGUGGUGAAAGCAGCAAUGCGCCGAUGGAGUGCCUCGCGGCCUAUCAGCUAGUUGGUGAGGUAACGGCUCACCAAGGCGACGACGGGUAGCCGGCCUGAGAGGGCGACCGGCCACACUGGGACUGAGACACGGCCCAGACUCCUACGGGAGGNAGCG